rnacentral:rRNA from 1 species
UAGAGGAAGUAAAAGUCGUAACAAGGUUUCCGUAGGUGAACCUGCGGAAGGAUCAUUACUGAGCGUGGGUCCCCCGUUGACCCCCCUUUCCCGGGGGGCCGGGGUUGACCCUAGACCUCCCACCCUUGUCGAUUGUACCGUGUUGCUUCGGCGGGCCCGCCAUUGGCCGCCGGGGGGCUCGCGACUUGUGAGCGCCGCCCCCGGGCCCGUGCCCGCCGGAGACCUCCCUCGAAAUGCUACUGUGGUCAGAAAUGCUGUCUGAGUGGGAAUGAUGUGAGAAAUUGAUCAGUCAAAACUUUCAACAAUGGAUCUCUUGGUUCCGGCAUCGAUGAAGAACGCAGCGAAAUGCGAUAAGUAAUGCGAAUUGCAGAAUUCCGUGAGUCAUCGAAUCUUUGAACGCACAUUGCGCCCCCCGGCUUCCCGGGGGGCAUGCCUGUCCGAGCGUCAUUGCCAUCCCCUCAAGCUCCGCUUGGCUGGUUGGGCCGACGUCCACCCGUGGCUUUGUGCCGGGGGGGACGGGCCCGAAAGGCAGUGGCGGCUCCCGGAGGGUGGUCCCUUGGGGCGGUUGAUACAUGGGUUGUCAUCUUCCACCGCUCCGUUGGCCACGCUCCGGGGGUCCAGUCGAACGAUCGGUCUUCCCCUUUAGGUUGACCUCGGAUCAGGUAGGGAUACCCGCUGAACUUAAGC